AGUGGAAUCAUUGGGUCACAUGGUAAGUGUAUGUUUAACUUUGUAAGAAACUGCCAAAUUGUUUUCCAAAGUGGAUGUACCAUUUUGCAAUUCCACCAGCAAU
rnacentral:pre_miRNA from 1 species